ACUGCCCGUGAUAAGCGGGAGGAAGGUGUGGAUGACGUCAAGUCCUCAUGGCCCUUACGGGUAGGGCUACACACGUGCUACAAUGGCAGUGACAAUGGGUUAAUCCCCAAAAACUGUCUCAGUUCGGAUUGUCGUCUGCAACUCGACGGCAUGAAGGUGGAAUCGCUAGUAAUCGUGGAUCAGCAUGCCACGGUGAAUACGUUCCCGGGCCUU
rnacentral:rRNA from 14 species